AGAACGAACGCUGGCGGCAUGCCUAAUACAUGCAAGUCGAACGAACUCUUCGGAGUUAGUGGCGCACGGGUGCGUAACGCGUGGGAAUCUGCCCCUUGGUUCGGAAUAACAGUUGGAAACGACUGCUAAUACCGGAUGAUGACGAAAGUCCAAAGAUUUAUCGCCAAGGGAUGAGCCCGCGUAGGAUUAGCUAGUUGGUGAGGUAAAGGCUCACCAAGGCAACGAUCCUUAGCUGGUCUGAGAGGAUGAUCAGCCACACUGGGACUGAGACACGG
rnacentral:rRNA from 1 species